rnacentral:rRNA from 1 species
AUUCGCGGCCUAUCAGCUUGUUGGUGAGGUAAUGGCUCACCAAGGCGACGACGGGUAGCCGGCCUGAGAGGGCGACCGGCCACACUGGGACUGAGACACGGCCCAGACUCCUACGGGAGGCAGCAGUGGGGAAUAUUGCACAAUGGGCGAAAGCCUGAUGCAGCGACGCCGCGUGAGGGAUGACGGCCUUCGGGUUGUAAACCUCUUUCAGCAGGGAAGAAGCGAAAGUGACGGUACCUGCAGAAGAAGCGCCGGCUAACUACGUGCCAGCAGCCGCGGUAAUACGUAGGGCGCAAGCGUUGUCCGGAAUUAUUGGGCGUAAAGAGCUCGUAGGCGGCUUGUCACGUCGAUUGUGAAAGCUCGGGGCUUAACCCCGAGUCUGCAGUCGAUACGGGCUAGCUAGAGUGUGGUAGGGGAGAUCGGAAUUCCUGGUGUAGCGGUGAAAUGCGCAGAUAUCAGGAGGAACACCGGUGGCGAAGGCGGAUCUCUGGGCCAUUACUGACGCUGAGGAGCGAAAGCGUGGGGAGCGAACAGGAUUAGAUACCCUGGUAGUCCACGCCGUAAACGGUGGGAACUAGGUGUUGGCGACAUUCCACGUCGUCGGUGCCGCAGCUAACGCAUUAAGUUCCCCGCCUGGGGAGUACGGAAU